UGCUAACAAGCCCCACCUGUAGCUUCAGUUCUCUGAAAAAAGACCAACAGAGUGAACCAAGUUCUGCUGAGCUCUGCCGCCAUAAGAGCGCCAAAGUCCACCCAGUGAACCUGCCCUCUGACACCAAACACAAGACUCUCCACAACAACUGGGUUGGCGAGAAAACUAUCGAAAGUGUUCAAGCCAAAGACAACAGCGCCACCUAUCUGCUCUUUGCUGCUAAGUCAAACCCCAAGUGUGAAGAACAAAAACCCAAAGUCAACAAGUCCCUGCAGUGGAUUCAGGACCGACUGAAGGUCGGACACUGGGUCGACAAGUACCAGCACUACGCGGACAAGGAGAGGGAAAAGCGCACGCGCAAUGCAGAGCAGCAUUAUGAAAGCUGGAUUGCUUUCCACCAAAUCAGCAGCAUGAGCACUUACUUUUACUAAUUCACUUCGUUUUUUUUGUUUUAUUAUUUACUGUGGUACUGUGCUUAUAGUGUCGCCUGCUGGAGAGUCUGCAGUUGCUCAGAUGGGGAUCAGACACUAUACAAGCAUGAUGUCUACCUGUUCCUGUUCUGCUGCAGUAGACUCAGUCCUGGAGGGCUGAUGAGAGAGGCUCACGCACACACCUCCCUGAAAACACCCGAGCUCCUCCCGUCUGUCAUUUUUACCUGGCUCAGGACAGGAGUAUUCCACAACCAACCACUUGUGGAAACUCCUGUGACUGUGGACAGGACUCUUGCCACACUUGUUGGAAGAGUCCAGUCCACUGUAAUUUCACCUGGCUGUGGACACGACUCUUGCCACACUUGUUGGAAGAGUCGUGUACACAACCAGGUAAAAAUGACAGAAGAGGAGGUACGGUUUUUCAGGCCACUCCCGACUCUCCCCAGCAGGAGGCGCCAUGGCCACAGUCCACCGUCACACUGCGUUUUCUUUUUAUAGUGUGAUGUAUAAACUAUAAUAAAACUGUGUUGAAGUGAAAA